rnacentral:ncRNA from 1 species
UGACCUCAGAUCAGGCAAGGCUACCCGCUGAAUUUAAGCAUAUUAAUAAGCGGAGGAAAAGAAACUAACAAGGAUUCCCCUAGUAAUGGCGAAUGAAGCGGGAACAGCUCAAAUUUAAAAUCUCCGUUGCUUGCAACGGCGAAUUGUAGUUUCGAGAAGCACUUUCUCGGCGGAUCCGAGGUCGUCCAAGUUGCUUGGAACAGCACGUCGUAGAGGGUGACAACCCCGUCUGCGGCGAUCUCGGCCGUUCACGAUGUGCUUUCGACGAGUCGGGUUGUUUGGGAAUGCAGCCCAAAAUGNGUGGUAAACUCCAUCUAAAGCUAAAUAUUGGCACGAGACCGAUAGCGAACAAGUACCGUGAGGGA